rnacentral:rRNA from 1 species
UACGGGGGGGGGUAAGCGUUGUUCGGAAUUACUGGGCGUAAAGGGCUCGUAGGCGGCCAACUAAGUCAUACGUGAAAUCCCUCAGCUUAACUGGGGAACUGCGUGUGAUACUGGAUGGCUUGGAUUUGGGAGAGGAAGGCGGAAUUCCCGGUGUAGCGGUGAAAUGCGUAGAUAUCGGGAGGAACAUCAGUGGCGAAGGCGGCCUUCUGGUCCAGUACUGACACUCAAGUGCGAAAGCGUGGGGAGCAAACAGG